GAUAAUAGGUUGUUUAAAGUUCUUGAAGGACGUAGAGCGAAAGAUAAAGAGAGCGUGGCAGCUGAAGGAUCAAGUGGCUGAUAAUAUUCCAAAGAGGCUAGCUAGCCUGUUAGGUGCUCAAGAGCGCGAGAGAGGAGAUCACAAUACAGAUCAUGCAAAGAGUAGUGACCACGUGAAUUGAUGCUAAUUAAAGCCGUAUGUCAAAGUUCCGAGACAGAGUAAUAUGCUGACUAGAUCAUGACUUGUUGCUGGAAAUUAAUCAGCUUAAAUCUGAUAUGAAGUUGAAGGAGUUCAAGUGUUUUGUUACGGGUGAUUCAUGAAGCUCGGUACACUGAAUUUUCAACUUGAAAAUUCGAGGUUGUUAAAAAGUGUAAUUUUCUCAAAAAAAUGAUAUUGAUAGCUUUGGAGUGGUCGGCCCUACGGCCACUAUGGGGAAAUCUGCCUAGUUAUGUAUCUUCGCUUUUGAGCACCUCAUCAUGAUAUUCCAAAGAGGUUAUCUUCUUAUGCAAUUAAUUAUCUCUUUUAGUGCUCAGAAAAAUAAUCCGUCUUAUAACUAUUCUGAAAAUGAAGGAGACAGAUAAUCUAAAGUUUAAAAUAUCUAUUUAGAACAGUACUGUCCCUUGUAAUCUUUGCCAGGUUCCGUUCUCUGUGUUUGAUGUAUGACAAGUGAUCCUAUGAUAUGCAUGUUUAUGUAGUUA